rnacentral:rRNA from 1 species
UUACGGGAGGCAGCAGUGGGGAAUUGUUCGCAAUGGGCGCAAGCCUGACGACGCAACGCCGCGUGGAGGAUGAAGACUUUCGGGUCGUAAACUCCUUUCGACCGAGAUGAAUGUCCCUCGACCCAACACGUCGAGGGAGUGACAGUAUCGAGGGAAGAAGCCCCGGCUAACUCUGUGCCAGCAGCCGCGGUAAUACAGGGGGGGCAAGCGUUGUUCGGAAUUACUGGGCGUAAAGGGUUCGUAGGUGGCCAACUAAGUCAUACGUGAAAUCCCUCAGCUUAACUGGGGAACUGCGUCUGAUACUGGUUGGCUUGAGUGCAGGAGAGGAACGCGGAAUUCCAGGUGUAGCGGUGAAAUGCGUAGAUAUCUGGAGGAACACCGGUGGCGAAGGCGGCGUUCUGGACUGCAACUGACACUGAGGAACGAAAGCCAGGGGAGCAAACGGGAUUAGAUACCCCGGU